UACGGAGGGUGCAAGCGUUGUCCGGAAUCACUGGGCGUAAAGGGCGCGUAGGCGGCUCAUGAAGGCUGUGGUGAAAGUCCGGGGCUCAACCUCGGAUCGGCCGUGGCGACUCGUGGGCUGGAGCACUGUAGAGGCGGGGUGGAAUUCCGGGUGUAGCGGUGGAAUGCGUAGAGAUCCGGAAGAACACCAGUGGCAAAGGCGGCACUCUGGGACGGUACUGGACGCUGAGACGCGGAAAGCGUGGGGAGCAAACAGGGAUU
rnacentral:rRNA from 1 species